UACGAAGGGGGCUAGCGUUGCUCGGAAUCACUGGGCUUAAAGGGCGCGUAGGCGGACUGCCAAGUCCGGGGUGAAAUCCUCCGGCUUAACCGGAGAAUUGCCUGGGAUACUGGCGGUCUUGAGGGAGGUAGGGGCACGCGGAACUUCCGGUGGAGCGGUGAAAUGCGUUGAUAUCGGAAGGAACGCCGGUGGCGAAAGCGGCGUGCUGGCCCUCUUCUGACGCUGAGGCGCGAAAGCCAGGGGAGCGAACGGG
rnacentral:rRNA from 1 species